CACUUUCAACAACGGAUCUCUUGGCUCUCGCAUCGAUNAANAACGUAACGAAAUGCGAUAUGUAAUGCGAAUUGCCGAAAUCCGUGAAUCAUCGAANUUUNGAACGCCAAAUGCCUUUUCUUCGG
rnacentral:rRNA from 1 species